GGAUGGGCCUGCGUCUGAUUAGCUGGUUGGUAGGGUAACGGCCUACCAAGGCGACGAUCAGUAGCCGACCUGAGAGGGUAAUCGGCCACAUUGGAACUGAGACACGGUCCAAACUCCUACGGGAGGCAGCAGUGGGGAAUAUUGCACAAUGGGCGAAAGCCUGAUGCAGCAACGCCGCGUGAGCGAGGAAGGUCUUUGGGUCGUAAAGCUCUGUCCAAAGGGAAGAAACAAAUGACGGUACCUUUGGAGGAAGCCCCGGCUAACUACGUGCCAGCAGCCGCGGUAAUACGUAGGGGGCGAGCGUUAUCCGGAAUUAUUGGGCGUAAAGAGUGCGUAGGUGGCUUUUUAAGCGUGGGGUGAAAGGCAGCGGCUCAACCGUUGUGAGCCUUGCGAACUGGAAGACUUGAGUGCAGGAGAGGAAAGCGGAAUUCCUAGUGUAGCGGUGAAAUGCGUAGAUAUUAGGAGGAACACCAGUGGCGAAGGCGGCUUUCUGGACUGUAACUGACACUGAGGCACGAAAGCGUGGGGAGCAAACAGGAUUAGAUACCCUGGUAGUCCACGCCGUAAACGAUGAGCACUAGGUGUCGGGGUCGCAAGGCUUCGGUGCCGCAGUUAACGCAUUAAGUGCUCCGCCUGGGGAGUACGCACGCAAGUGUGAAACUCAAGGAAUUGACGGGGACCCGCACAAGCAGCGGAGCAUGUGGUUUAAUUCGAAGCAACGCGAGAACCUUACCAGGCUUGACAUCCCUCUGACCGGCGUGUAACGGCGCCUUCCCUUCGGGGCAGAGGAGACAGGUGGUGCAUGGUGUCG
rnacentral:rRNA from 1 species